rnacentral:rRNA from 1 species
AUGAAGGGUUUCGAUCCGUAAACCACUGUCAUUUGUGAACAAUGGUUACCGUUUAAGAGAUGGUGACUUGAUAGUAAUGAAAGAGGAAGGGACGGCUAACUCUGUGCCAGCAGCCGCGGUAAUACAGAGGUCCCGAGCGUUGUUCGGAUUCACUGGGCGUAAAGGGUGCGUAGGUGGCAUGGUAAGUUUGAUGUGAAAGCUCAGGGCUUAACCCUGAAAUGGCAUUGAAUACUACUGUGCUGGAGGUUUGGAGGGGGGACUGGAAUUCUUGGUGUAGCAGUGAAAUGCGUAGAUAUCAAGAGGAACACCAGUGGCGAAGGCGAGUCCCUGGACAACACCUGACACUGAGGCACGAAAGCUAGGGGAGCAAACAGGAUUAGAUACCCUGGUAGUCCACGUCGUAAACGAUGGAUGCUAGCCGUCGGCAAGCUUGCUUGUCGGUGGCGCAGCUAACGCAUUAAGCAUCCCGCCUGGGGAGUACGGCCGCAAGGUUAAAACUCAAAGGAAUUGACGGGGACCCGCACAAGCGGUGGAGCAUGUGGUUUAAUUCGAUGCAACGCGAAGAACCUUACCUGGUCUUGACAUCCCAGGAACCCUGCAGAGAUGUAGGGGUGCCUUCGGGAACCUGGAGACAGGUGCUGCAUGGCUGUCGUCAGCUCGUGUCGUGAGAUGUUGGGUUAAGUCCCGCAACGAGCGCAACCCUUGCCCU